rnacentral:rRNA from 1 species
UACAGGGGGGGCAAGCGUUGUUCGGAAUUACUGGGCGUAAAGGGCUCGUAGGCGGCCAACUAAGUCGGACGUGAAAUCCCCAGGCUCAACCUGGGAACUGCGUCCGAUACUGGAUGGCUUGAAUUCGGGAGAGGGAUGCAGAAUUCCAGGUGUAGCGGUGAAAUGCGUAGAUAUCUGGAGGAAUACCGGUGGCGAAGGCGGCAUCCUGGACCGACAUUGACGCUGAGGAGCGAAAGCUAGGGGAGCAAACGGG